rnacentral:lncRNA from 1 species
GCCUCUUUCUCGUUGAUCAGUUUGCCUCCGCUCUAUUGAAAGGUCUUCAUUCCUACGACAGUUUUGUCAACGAACGCGUCUCGGGCCAGAUUGACUAACCUAACCCUUAAGGAGGCCUUACCAUAGUUGGGUGCUCUGCUUUAGUAUGAUUGACGAAGGCUAGGCUAGGUUUGGUAAUACUGUAGCGCCCCCAAAUUCGGGUAUCUUCCAACCCGACAGAUGGUGCUAUACUGUACAAACAUUCAUACAUUCAUUCAAUUGAAAAGCCUCAAAAGAACGAAUAUCUCUUAUAUAUAAUCAAAAUAAUAUUUACAUUCUCCCAAGUUCUAAACCCAUUACAAAGGUUCUUUGUCAUAAUAUCAAUUACAUUAUAACAUUAAACCUAUACUAUUACAUAGACAGCUUAAUGAUCCGCCUUAGCUUUUCCUUUAUCCUUAUUCGAUCCUUCGGGACGUUCAGUCUUAGCUGCUUUCAUAUGGUUCAAGCAAGAGUGAGCAUAACUAGCUCAGCAAGUAUGACAAUUUCAAUAAACAACGUGCUUUGACACAUAAGAAUCGUAUAUCUUCAAUAACUGAACAAUAGUUAUGAAGUACUAUUGAUGAUUCAAAAUAGCACUUCAUCUUUCUUUCAAAAUAUUUUACAAUAAUAACAAUAUUCAGUAAAACAUUCACUCCGGUCAAAGACCUUGAGCAUUUCAUUCUUCUUUGAAAAGGACAACCCGAAACUAAGUCCGUAAGCUCGGUAUUACUUACGAGCACUUCUAGGUGAUCAGCCUAUUGUACUCUAUGUUGAUCAACACUACAUUCAUUUAACGUAUGUACGUUUAAUUGUGGCAACCUCACGUGCCUGUCGUUUACCGACAAAACAUUUGUUUAACAUUUCAGUCUUCUUUUGAAAACCAUAACAAGUAGUUUACAAAAGAUAACAACAUUUGAUAACAGAUGAAUAAAUUAUCAAUAAUCCACUCAAUAUAUCAAGUCUAGCCAAAAGAAUUGGCUUUAACUUCAUUGUACAUCAAUUCAUGCGUAAGGAUACAUGAACUUCAAAAACUUGUUUAGAUUGAACUGAGACAAGAGUUAGAAUACUUGCCUUUAGCAUCUGCUACGGUAUAAUUACUUUAUGAUUGAAUCUUUCAAGUCUCUACAACACAUGAUCACAUAAUGCCUCAUAUUAGGUCAUAUAUAAUAAAGUAUGUAUAUGACUAUCUUUCCUUUCAUCUCAAUCUAAUUGUGUAUUAGAUUCAUUUACUAUCCAUUCUGGCUUAUCAUUAAACUUGCAUUCAUAUUUGACUAGGUUAUCUCAACCUUUAAACAACAUCCUUAAGGUUUAACAUAGUUUUAACAAUGUUACUUUAUGUUCCUUAAAGUAGGUUUACUUUGAAAUCAAUCACCUUCCUUUCUUUGUACUUAUAAACAUUCAUCACCAUCUUUGUUCUAAGGAUGGCGCUGCGGCGCCAGUCAUAAGCCUACAUCUCGCGCUGUGGCACGAGUUAACAGUGGAGAGGUCCCGGACUUGGCGCUGCGGCGCGAGUCCUUACUCAGUGGGUCGCGCUGCGGCGCCAUUCUACAGGUCAUGACCUGUUCAUGGCGUUGCGGCGCCAUUAUUUAAAGUAUGGUUCGCGUUGCGGCGCGAGUUUCCAGUGUGCUUAGACACUAUUACGGCGUUGCGGCACCACUCAAAUGGCCUAGGGUUGGUGCCGCGGCGCCAACUCUUUGCACCAGAAAUUUUUUACAAACUUUGAAUUUUGUGAACUUCCCGGACGCAUAAUUUCUUCGUUAUAAGUCCGAAUUGGCUCGUUCAAAAGCCUACGGUUCAUAAAUUACGUACUCUACGAGUUCAUGCAAGAAUUUUAUCUAUUUGACUUCGUUUGCUAAAAAUUCACCUAUUGGUUCAUUUUUAACGUAAACGAUAAACGUUCGUGAACGUUCAAUGCUCGUUUCUUCGUUAUAAGUCGGAAUUCGAUCAUUUUCGAGUCCGCAACUCUAGAAUGCCAAAUAUGACUUGUCUUCAUCGAAAACCAACGUUUCUGAGUUCAAACACAAAAUUUAACUUCUAAUCCGGGAAUUUCAUGAAUUCUACGAUUAUCGUCCAAUCGUGCAACUUCCAGCAAAUCUUCAUUACUUAUGAUUAUUACUUUAAAUGUAUUCAAUUUAUUCUAUGAACAUCUCAACAUACUUAAUACAACAACUUAUACUUAUUCCUUCAUGAGCUUAUAACUUAUUAAAUUAUAAACUACUUUAUGAUUCAUUGUUCAUAACUUAUGAAAGUUAAAAGUCUUUUAAUCAUCAUACUUAUAUGUUCUUAACAUAUAAUAUCAUUCAUGUUUACAUGGUACAAAUUCAUAUAAACCCUUAACUUUUCAUACUAACAUUCAAGGUUAACUUAUAACAAGUUCCUAACUUUUAUAAGUUUAAAUGACUUAUUUCCAACUUAUGUGACUUAAGUUCAUUGCUUACUCAUUCUUCUUACUUCUUAACAUUCAUGUUCCUUAAUCCAAUUUUUCUUAUCAACCUAUCAUGAUAGAGAUAGAAGAUAAUUGGAGAAGAGGUCUUACUCUUGAAGUAUUUGCAAAGUAGUCUUCUUCUUCUUCUUCUUGCUUAUGGAAGUAACUUAUUUUUAGCUUAAUCUCCCUAACACUUAAGCACUUUGUAAUAGUUUGGAUUGUUUGAACAAGUGUUAAAUGACUUGCAAACCUUCUCUAUUUAUAGAACUCACAAUGUUAGGGUAUUUUAGUCAUUAAAUCACCCACCUCCUUAAGCCACCUCUUACUAUUCAUUACUUACUUAGCACAAAUCCUAUCAUUUUCUUGGUCAUUACUCCUAAUACUUGGUCAUUACAUUAACUUGGUCACCACACAUAAAACUUGGUUACCAAGAGUAACCAUAUUAAUAUGGUUUGCCCCAUGGUUUAAUCAACCCAUUGGAUUCUAGCUUGGGCUUAACUUAACUUAACCUUUGGGCUUUACAUUAACAAACACUAACUUGUUUAUUAAUUCAAUAGUCGGGCCUCACACUUAAUUCACUUGGGCUUGUACAAAAUCCUAACCAAUCUUUACAAGUCCAAUAUCAUUACUCAAUACAUAUACAUAUAGUUUAUGUAUCAUUCUCGUAUUUAACUCGUAUAUAAAUUUAUUAUAUACAUUAAUCCAUCAUUCGUCCAAACUCGUAUAAUACUUCGUAUUAUACUCAUUCUCAUUACCUUGUACAAUACCUAAGUAUCAUACAAUUAUUACUUACAUAAUAAUACUUCGUUUUCCUUAAUAUUCAUAAUUUAAGUCCGCAAGCGAAAUAUUACGUUUUCCAUAACUAGAUUAUUAUUACAUAAUCCGUCUUACCUUGAUAUUCUAUCAUUACGUAUUUCUCGGAAAUUCAAAAUAAUUCCCGAGCAAAUACCGAUGAAUAGUGUUUUUCAGAAAAUUUCUCGAAAAACUUUUAUUUUCAUCUUAGAAAUUCAAACACUUUAAUUCCAUCACGUAGCUAAAAUACUACGACAUUCCAACAUCAUUAGGUUAUAGAAUGACAACCAUCUUGAUAUCACAUAGAAUAUAAUUUUAUUAUUUAAUUUAAUAAAAUCAUUUUAUAAUAAAAAUCUGAAUUUCUCGGUCGUUACAAAUACCAAAAAAAGGAAAAGAGAUCGGGGUCGAUAGCUGGCAAGGAACUGAACCCCCCAAAAAGGGGGGGGGGGCAACUGCGGCCGAACUCGAAUUCUGGAAAAAGUCGGGGCCCUUUUACCAAGUCUACCAGAUAAAAUGUGACGCCCCCAAAAUAGGUAUACAUCACCCAUCUUGGGUCACUAGAUACAUGGUACAGAAUACAAAUACAAUCUUAAAUAUACAACAAAAGCUGUGAGUUUUAAUACAAAUAUUGUCUUCUAGACAAUAUCCACUCUCAGAAUAAGUCCUCAUUGCAAUCAUUAUCACACUAUUUCAUAGAAUAGUGAGGACUACUAAUGCUAUCAUCUGGACCAUCACUCCGUCCCCCGACUAGUCCCUGCUACGUUCUCAUUUCCUGAAGAGAACAGUGAAAGAAAGGGUGAGCUCAACUAGCCCAGUAAGAAAUAUUAUGACUAAGAUAAUGCAGGAUAAAUUAUCAUUAGCCUUCAACAAUGUUAAACUGAUAAAAUACAAUAGACAACAAGUUUAACUGCAGCGGAAUAAGCAAUCCAUUAAAAGAGUCAAGUAGAGAAUAAAAUCUACUAUCUUUUAUGAUUUAAAAAGUUUUUCAUCACUUUUAUCGCUGAGACUCAGCUUAAUAAAUAAUCCACAUCAUCCCUGCACUACGGCCAAGGAUAUUCAUUAGGGUCACGACCACAAAUUAUCCAUGCACUACGGGCCAAGGAUAUUCGUGUAUUCAUCAAUGGUCAUGAUCAUGCCAACAACUGUCCAUCAAUGCACUACGGGCCAAUGAGGACUUUUACCACAUCAUUUGUAACAUUACGGUCAUGAUUAUACCGAAUAAUCCCUGGUCAUAAUCAUACCAAGUCCAUCUAUGCACUACAGGCCACAGAUGACUUUCAACAAAAUAUAAACAUGAGGAUGAUGACAAUGAUAUAAGAAUUCAAUAAAACAAGUUCAAGAAUUAAUUUAUCCAGGAACUAAUAACGUCCAAAUUGUCAACAUGAUACUUCUUUGUAGAGUAAAAUUCAAGAAUGCUCAGAAGAAUAUUUCCAUGAAAAGAUACUGGAUGAAGCGCAAAUAUCAAGGAUAUUCCACUAAUUUCAUGGAGUAUAGAAGUUAAAACUUUAACCAACUGAGUAUAAUAAAGAAUGGAAUAACAAAAGAAAUCACCAGGCAUGCGAUAGACCGCACAGACAGGUUAUUCCAACAGAAUAAUAAAUAACGGAACCAGGUCAUGCGUAAACGCACAGACAGGAUAUUCCAACAGAAUAAUAAAGAAUGGAAUAACAUAAGGAUUUCACCAAGUAUAGGGGAGUCCGCGUAUACAGGUUAUUCCAACAGAAUAAUAAAGACGGAACCAGGUCCGACGUAAAACGCACAGACA